GAGAUGUUUUUUUUAGUGAAAAUGCUAGAAAUGCACAUAUGACGGAACAAUUUACAAGGGAAAACAGCAAAGGAAAUACAACAGCUAAUAUGUACAUCAAAAGAAAAAACUAAAACAAAACGUGAAAGUCCGUAGUAGCUCCAAUCCAAAAAGGUAUUCCCCUUGUAGCUGUGGUAGUAGAGGAGGAUGUCAUCGCCCAUUUGGUAAGACAAUGGGCUGGAUGGACGGCCUGGCGAGCGCAACAAAAAGUUAUAUGCAUAAUGGGAGUUAGUCCGCCCGGCUAGCUGCAUGGUAGCAUUUAAACAAUCAUAAUAAAUAAAUACUAACAUUAAAAUUAUGAUGCAAGAUCCAUGCAUGUGAUAGCCAUAAGAAUAGCCAAAAUUCAGUUUUCCAAGCGCACGUGCUCUCUUGGGCCUGUUUCGUACUUGGUGCCAUACAAGUAGAGGGAUGAGCUCCCCUCGGUACCCCAUCCCCACAAAUUCUUCCAAAUUUCAUUUUGUAGCCCCCACUAACACUAUAAUAAUGAUCCAACCUUAUCGCAAUGAAUCCAUAAAUUCGAUCCAAAACUGUUCGCUUUGUAGAAAUCAACAAGUGGGAUAUUCCUCUCAGGAAUAAAGUCGAUUGGAUAUGUGUCACCGUUCAUAUUUUCGGUAACAAUCUUCGGUCGGAUAUGUGUAAACUACAUAACCAAUUGAAAUUUAUUUUAAAUUACAACCCAAAAAACACCGUUCAUUUACUUGUCGAUUGAGCUCUUGACGUAAACGGUAGCCGGUAGGUAUUAAAUUUCUAGGCGGGUUAAUGAAACCCGUUACAGUCUCACAGCAACAGCAGUCGGAUCCCAAGCUCCCGACCGAGGCCCAGAAAGCGGAAACACGCAUGGCAUUCCAAACCAGAUUUCACAUUCAAUGAUAUUAUGAUACUGAAGUCCAUAGAAGUCAGGAAUUUUGAAUGUUAACAAGCACAUGUACAAAGAAAACAUAUUUUCCGAAGCACCAAAAAAAAUUUACGUAGGACAAAAACACGAAAAAUAUAUAACCAGUAUGUCGAGUAACAGAGAUGUCCUUAAGCUGUCUAUUGGAACGUAAUGUAGAUAAGAAUGACCAUGAUUAUCUUUCUCCUCUUUGUUCAGGCGUUAAUCCGCGGCCUUGUCCGCAACUUGGACAACUCUUUAACCCAAAUCCCUGGCAAU